UGUCCUCAUGCUUACUCAUUAAGCAAAGUUCUCCUGAGCAACUACUUUGCGCCCCAUACUGUCUGGGGCCGUAAACAAGAUGCCGCUGCCCUCCUGAAAUUCACCAAGAGAAACUCAUGAACUCCCCGAGCCACAGAAUGGCGGCUUGGAGUUGGCAUUUGGGAAGAUUCAUUCAUUCCACAAUUAGUUGCUGCAUCUAUUUGUGUGGCCACUCCUUCCCAGCUGCCUGCAGACACAUCUCUACCAGUCAAGUCUAAGAGCUAUUCGUGGCCCCAUCAUUUAUCAGCUGCACGUCCUCUCUGGUCCUCCGUUUCCACAUCUGUAAAUGGGGAUAAUAACAGCAGCUACCUCCGAGGAGAGCUAGAAAAAGGUACGGACUUCCUCCAGGGCUCCCCAGAGGGUCUCGGCCCACUCUACUCACCUGGAUACAGCGGCUCCUGGUCAGUCCUGAGUAGAACGGUCACUGCAGAGAAGACAGAGUUGCUGGGAAGAGGAAACAAGUUAACAUCCGCACCAUGCGAGGAUGUGCCCACAGUCAGCACUAGUUUCUCCAUUCACUGCUCGUCCCUCAAACCCUGGAGAACAAGCUCCCCCAGGGGACACUGUCCUGUGCACCACUGCGUCUCCAGCACCUUCACCUGUGCCUGUCACAUUGUAGAUGCUCAAUAAAUAUGCAUCAAAUGAAUAAAUAAUUGCCAAUGUUAGAGCCCUUUCAAUAUGCUGGAUCCACUUCUACUUCCC